GUUUGAUCCUGGCUCAGGAUGAACGUUGGCGGCGUGCCUGAGAUAUGCAAGUCGAGCGACCCCUCCGAUUCGGAGGGGAGCGGCGAACGGCUGAGUAACACGUAGGAACCUGCCCCUAAGUCGAGGAUAGUUCGUCGAAAGGCGGAGUAAUACUCGAUGGUUCCCGCCUCUGGCGGGAUAAAGGAUCUAACCGUCCGCUUAGGGAGGGGCCUGCGACCUAUCAGGUAGUUGGUAGGGUAACGGCCUACCAAGCCGAUGACGGGUAGCUGGCCUUAUGAGGGUGGUCAGCCAGAGGGGGACUGAGACACGGCCCCCACUCCUACGGGAGGCAGCAAUCAGGAAUCGUCGGCAAUGGGCGAAAGCCUGACCGCGCGACGCCGCGUGCGGGAAGAAGCUCUUCGGAGUGUAAACCGCUGUGGUAGGGGAGGAAGCCCCGCCAUUGGCGGGGUUGACAGUACCCUACUAGAAAGGGGCCGCUAACUGCGUGCCAGAAGCGUCGGUAAUACGUGGGCCCCAAACGUUAUCCGGUGUCACUGGGCGUAAAGGGUCGUGUAGGCGUCCCGUCAAGUUUUACCUCAAAGACUAUGGCUCAACCAUAGGAAGGGGUAAAAAACUGAUGGGAUAGAAUUUCUUCAAAGGGGACGGGAACUUGCGGAGGAGCAGUGAAAUGCGUUGAUACCGCANGGAACACCAGUGGCGAAGGCGCGUCCCUUCGAGGGAAUUGACGCUGAGACACGAAAGCUAGGGGAGCGAAGCAGAUUAGAGACCUGCGUAGUCCUAGCCGUAAACGCAUGUCUGCUAGCUGUGCUUUUCCUCGCCUCAUCGGCGGGUUAGGCAUGGCGAA
rnacentral:rRNA from 1 species